GGAAGUGCUAUUAUCCCCUUUUGAAAGAUGAGGAGAUGAUGCACGGAGAGUGACUUGUUUGAGAUCACACACGAAGCUCAUGAUGAAAUGGGAGUUGAAGGCAAAUCCUUUGGAUUAAUGUCCUGAGUGAAUACAACUUGAUUGUACUGUCAUUCUUGAUAGAGUGAGCCAGUUCCUCGUGGUAUAAGUUGGCAGCAUGUCAUAAAAGUCAGUGCCUUGAAGUCAAUGGAUCUUUCCAUCAUAUAUAUGAAUUCUGCCUUAUGCCUAGCAUGUGACACACCCUUGGAAGAAGAGAUUGCAUGAAAAGGUAGAUGUAUACAGUAAUGAAGGUGUUGAUUCAAGUUACUACUGAAGAGUGGUAGAAAAUUGGCCCAGCUGUAGGAGAUGAAGAAUCAGGAACAGGAUGAACAAUGUGGUUAUUGGGAGGAUAAGAAAAAUAAUAAAGACAAAGACCAUUUGGAAACACCCACACAUAGACAGUGGACAAAGGAAGAAAGGUUCUCAGUGUAACAAGAGUUUGGCAGAUGACUGCAGCAAAGGAGCCAGCCCUCCAUGAGUGAUGUGAGAAGCCAUGUCUGGCCUGCAUGGUCCUGGAGAAGGGAGGAAGGCAGUGACUUCCUAGGAGCACUUGAGUUGGAGAAAUGCUAACUAUAGAAAUAAGUUGUUUAUCCUGAAGAAAGUAAUUAUCAUUGUGUAGGAAGCACAAUGAGACAACAGCAGUUUAUCGAUAAGUAUUUGGAGGAAGCAAUUAACAGGAAUGAAUAAAAAUUUCCCUGUACAAGACACUUGAGUAUACCAGGCUGGUGUUAGUGGAUUCCAGAGAGCUUCCAUAACAGAAACAGAGGGAUGUUUAUGCAAGAUAUGAAAAUGAGUAAAAGUUUCUCCAAAAUUUGCAAAUCAGUAAGACUAUGAAGAUGUAUGAAGACCAGAAUUGCCAAGGCUUUUCAUGCUAUGUACAACAUGAAAAAACUGAUACAAAAAAGCAAAAUCAUUUAUUUUCAAAGUGCAAAUACUACAGGGAGAAAAGUCAACUUUAAAGGUACUAUAACUAUAUCCAUACCUGUUUUGGUCCCUCUGAAUACAUUACUUCUACUACCAUCGUCAUCCAUUAUGGCUUGGGAAGGGAACUAAGAAGAGAGGAAUAUGAUGUCAGUGGAACAGCAAAGCUUGCCUGCAUUUCCUCCCAGGAACAUAGGAGAACCAAGCGCUAGGCCUAGAGCCUAUGUGAAAUGUAUGAAUUGCUCUGCAGUCUGUAGGAGAGAGGAUAAGUAAGUGAGGAAUUCUCAUUAAGAAUGUCCACACCCUCCUCAGAUAUCAGUCACCUCAUAGAUGAGCAUUGACUUGCACAGGAGACUUGCUCACAACAUAUCCACUAAUUCUAAUUUCAGUCUUUGGUACAGGGUCCUUGUCCAAAUAUGCAAAGCUGCAUUCAGCAACAGUAAAUCAACAUAAGAAUGCAGGGACAAGAUGAUGCAGAUACGCCCAAUUCAAAACAUUUGCAUUAAAGUUGUUUCUAUCACUUGCUGAAUUGCUCAGUUCCAUGUACAGCAAAUAAUUUUGCUAUCACUGCUGUCAUUGGUACAUUUAGUGGUUUGGGUGAUCUUUAUUUUGCUUCAAGAUGACCAUAUGAAGAAUCCAUGGAGUACAAAGGCAUGUUUUGCUUAACUUGAAUUCAGAUAGCAAAAGUAUCUAAUGCCAUGUGAGAUGUUUGGUUACCAAGGACAUCUGCAAGAUGGUGGCCAAUUCAAUGCAACACCUGCAGAAAAUCUACAGACAUUGGGAUCUCAGCAGUAGGGCAGAUGCGGUGGUCUGCAGACUCUCCGAGUGCUUAGAUGCCUACGAUGAUAAGCAUCUAAAACAAACCUUAAGUGAAAAACAUUUAUUGGUCAUCUGCAUUUUCUAUGCUGUCUCUAUAUUUAGUAGAAUGAGAUACUGAUCUUCAGUAGGACAAACUGCUCUCUGGAGGUGCCACUCUUUCUCCACUGACUUUAGAGAGAACCUUGGCUAAUUGUGUUCCUGAAGAAGGUUCUGAAUUUAGGCAUUGAGUUGGUUUUUUACAUACUGUUUUUGCUGUCUUCUAGUAGAUGUACCCUAUACAGCCUUAGACAAAAGGCUCAGUGUUUUUCAUUGCUAUUCUGUUUUCAUAAUUCAUAAUCUUGUAUUUAUUCCUUAAUUUAAUUAUUUAAAUAUUUAUUUAAAUGUAAAAAAAAUAUAGCUAAGUGCACAUGGAAAACAAAACUGAAUAAAUAAAUGAAUGAACAAAAAACACCACAAAACAACAACAACAACAACAAAACAACAAAAAAAACCUACAGCAUCACUUAUGUCUUCAUCAGAGGGCAAACCACACUUAGGAAAAAUGUUAUUUUCAGCAACUAAGUGCCAGAUUUAGCUUUGAGUACUCAGGCUUCAAAACAGCAAGCCACUUCCAGAACUAUUCCAUCAUUUGUGAAGCAUGUCUGAAAGCAUCUACAGGUAAGAUAACUAUAAUAAAAUUAUUUACGUAUUUGUUGAGACGUAUUUGUUUUAGAGGACACACGCAAAAUAAUUAUUAAAAUAAUAAAAAUCCAGCACUUCUAAGCUUGCUUCUACUCCUGUAGAAACAUGUUAUUCAAGGACAUUUAUACAUCCAAGCUGCGAGGAAGACAGUUCCAGACUUGUCUAACCUGUGCCCCCAUCUCUAACUGAAGAAUUAAAUAUUACACACUCUGACAGGUCCACACAAGCAUCUAUUCUAGGUUGUUUUGUUUUUUUCACCUUAACACAAAUCUCUUCAAGAUUUCUUGAAGUCUUUAUCUUCCAUGCUCACAUACUGGCUAUAUUCCACCAGUACAGAAGAAAGACUAAUUUGUAACAUUUUUCUUGGAUUGACUUUUUUGUGGAUUAGUUGUGGCAUGUACUCAUUACAGAAAUGUGCCAUUAUACACGUUGCAUACUUUGACUUCCAUUGUGUUUUAGGUUGCUGUCUGUUAGCAUACAUGAAACCAUGCUAAGUAACUGUUUGCUUAUUAUGAAGACACAGGGGAAAUUUAUAGAGUAGAAAAUUCUUGUCUUACUCAUCCUUCUUCCCUUUCCAGAACUCUUGGGUUUUUAAAUUCAAGACAAGAAUAUCAAGCAUGUAUUUCUACAUCUUGGAAUAUAACGUAGGACUUCUAGCAUAUGCAACAACACAGCCAUAGAAGAAUAUUAUCUAAAAAAAUGAGAGUUUCAUGACUCAGAGAGACACUAGAGCACAGCUCAAAUUUUGGACUGUAUGUUUUAAAGACAAUGUGAGAUUAAAUAGCCAAGAUAAUGGAAGAGUGAACAGAUUUACACAUCCUUACUUCUCUAACUGUUUCUGAUCUUCGGGGUAAUGUUUGUCACACCACCAUUCAGAGUAUUUGGAAAGUAGCCUGACUCACGUUUUGGCAUGACUAUAAGGAGACCUGUGUCCUAUGGCUGUCUCCCAUUUUGUUUCUUCAAAACACUUUUGUGUCUUCACUUCAUCUUGGCAGCGAGGUCUUGAUCCAUACUGACAACGAGAACAUUGGAAUUCAUUCUCCUUAAAAAAUAAACAAACAAACAACAACAACAAGGGAGUGGGAAGGAUUUUCAUUCAUGACUGACUGGGAGACUGGGAAAGCUGCAGCUAUCUGCAGUGACUGCACUGGAAAGACACCUGAGAAUAAAACAAAAACCAUGAAGAGAUUCAUGGUGGGGAAUCACCUGUAUCUAUCCAGUCUUCACUGAGAAAGCACACAGAAGUUAUUUCACCUGUUGACCUCCAAAAAAAAAAAAAAGGGAAGCAACUGCAGGCAAAGGAAAAGUUUGGAGCCUGGGGAAGUGUAAGAAAGAAAAACAAGUACAAAACAAAGCAUGACAAACUGCAGACUAUGGUUGCAUGUGCUUCCAGGCUCAGUGUGUCUCAUUGGAAAAAAAGAGUACUGCGUAGUGAAUUACAUGGAUGUGGGACUUCAGUCUUUAUUAUUUACACCAACUUAAAUCACACUUGUGGCUUUUUUUCUGCUGAAGGAAAUAUGUAACAAAGUGAAUAAGAUAAGAAUUCCUUAAGAGAAGAAAGACUGCCAUAUCAUUCUGUGACUCCUCAGAAUAUUUCAUUACUAAGUGCCUUUGGUCUGUGAAGUUUGUAAGCACUACAUUUGCAGUGCUAAGGCUUAUCCAGCUAGUCGUGGUUUGCAGCAGCAGGUUUCUCCUCAUUUGCUCUUCCAAAGAACUUCUGAAGAUAUCCUAAUUCAGACUACACACCACUUAAACCGUAGUACAGGACAAAUCACUACAAAUUUGUUCUACUGGGUAGCAAUUUCAACUGAAGCUCAUAGUCAAACACUAUAUACAAAUGCAAUUAUUCAGUACAGUCAAGGGAUGAUGACCUUAUGAUCAAACUACAUACCAACAGAAAUAUGCUGUCUCUGAAUCUUUAGCUAGUGCCACUUCUCUAUAUUGAGAUAAGUUUAUGGUCGCAGAAAAGUUGAUCUUUACGCAAUCCUUUCUCCACUGGUCCAGUGAACCGAACCUACCUUCUGGAGCCUGUAAUUAUGGGUCCUAAUGCUUUUCAUUCUCAGGCAUUCUCCAGUGUCCUCAGAGACUAUCAGGCUCUGGUUCUGCACCAAUGCUUCUCAAAACCUUUAGGACACAUUGAAAUUAUGUCCAAAUCCAAAAGAAAUGACUGAUGUGGCUCAAAGGUUGACAGUGCUAGGGUUACGCAACUGAAUUCUUACAGCUCUUUGGUUUGAUGCCACUAGGAAAAGACAAACAUCCAGAUUUGAUGUCUUUUGAUGCCCAGAGUUGAUGUCUUUUGAUGUCUUUUUAACUGCCACAGUUGGUCAAUCUUAAUUUCAUUGACAGAAGUGCAAAGUGAGACUGUAUUUAAGAGCUGCACUAUAGCUGUUCUGAUUUACACCAGUAUCAGUGAGAUUUAAGGAAUGAUCUUUCACAUUGUUGAGCUACAGGAUGCUUCAUGUUAGCUGUCUAGAUAACGAAAAAUAUCAUGGUUUUCCUGAAUGAAAACAUACCAGUUGAGGAACUUGUCCUUACACCUCGCCACUGCUCAACGUAAGAAAACAAAUCACAUUUGUGGAAUGUUUGUGAUUCACCCCAUAUCAACAAUGUUAACAUGGAGCUACAAAGCACUAGAUUUUGUAGAUGGGUAUUAAAAAAAGCAGGAGGCCUUUGGACAACUUUUUAGUUAAGUGCUUUGCCCAAUGACAGGUGCUUUUGCAAUCACCCCUUCUCCUCACCUUACGGUCUACCACAGUAUGUAUCAGAGAUCUCUGGGAAGGGAAACCAUCACACCUAAUGCAUUUGGACAAGUCUAGCAUGUGUGCAAAUUAAUAAGAAUGGCUUAUUCUAUUCUUUAUUUUGUUUUGCAAGGGUUGCCUUGCAUUUUUGCAACCUGCACAUCUGCUUCCCUGCUCUAACUAAUGAUAAUGGAUCUAGCAGAAUGCAAAGAACACAAUAUUCCCUCAAGUGCUUUUUUUUUUUUUUUUUUUUUUUUUUUUUUUUUUUUUUUUUUUUUAUGGGGGAAUCUCCUACUGAAAGGUAGAAACCUAAAUCAACUUCUUAAAAUAGAGAAUAGAUUCAUUAUUAAAUUCUCCUCUUCAGGCACUGGAGGAAUCCACAAAUGCAAUACAGGAAAGGAACUGAGAGUUGGAAAGAGCACUGCAAGUAAUCCUUUGCAAAACUCGUGGUUAAACUGUGAGAAGAAAAUUUCUGAUUUAAGAAUAUGUAUUUUUGCCUCUAGUAUAAAAUAAAAAUAAAAUAAUAAAAAAUAAAAAAUAAAAUAAACAGCAAAUAUUAAACACCUCAUAGUAACAGUUGCCUGGCAUACUGCAUGACAGUUAACUCUGUAAAAAGGGCACAUCUUGACUUCAUUUUGUCUUCUAACUUUGCCUUUCUCUUCUAAAGUAGUCUUUAAACAUUUUUAUCUAAACUAUACAAAGCAAAAAAGGAAAGGCUGUAGUAAUGCACUGCUGAAUAAAAAACAAACAAAAAACCAAACAACAUUCAAAUACUUCUACUAUCCCGUUUCAAUGACCUUUAUGAAUAAAGGAAUGACUGUAUUAAUAAAAGUUCCCAUAUAACAUUUUUUUGCAAGUCUUUACAUGAGAUUGUAUCAGUAACCAGAUUUAUAGACCAGUCUCUGGCUGCAAACACACUGUGCAUCCUUUCUACAUGAAGAACAAAUUCCCUCUCUUUUUACACUAGCACAAAACACUGGCACUCAGCAGCACAGUAGCAGCAAAUGCAGAUGUUGUGUGAUAAUGAACAUAGAUAAAGCAGAAUCUCCACAGAAAAGCAAUAUUACAAGUGCAGCUGGUGAUGCUGCUCAUCAGCUGUCUGUUCAGAAGUAGUGCAGAACUUGUACUUUGAUCCUGGAAGCUGCCAAGACUUUUGCAUGGGGUUCAACGCCGCUCAGUUUUGACACUGAGAACAGAAACAUUAUUUUGAUGUCUUUCCACGUUUUUGGUAAGGACUCUCUACAAAGCCUGAUACAGAACAUACGUGUUAAAUCUUUACACAUCUUGUGCAGGUACUCCUACAAAGCACCUUUUUCCUGCUCUCUAUCCAGUACAGUAACAUCUAAUGUCUUAAAGAUGAAAAAGAAAAGAAUCCAAAUAAGACAUUAUUUAUUUUUUUCUGUGAUAUCUUCCCUUUGGGAAAAGAGAUUGCUCGUGUUCAGCUCUGUCUAUGAGCUAAUGCUAGACUUCAAACCACCCUCACCUCAAUUGUAGCAUUUAUUAACUUUACAUAUAAGGUUUAUGACUUCUAGAUUAGUAAAUUAUGUAGUAAGGCCUUGUAAUAGAUUUAAUUGUGUUAAUUUUAGUUGAAUUAUAUGGUGUGUUGAUUCUGUGAAGAACUCUGUUGCGCAAACCACGAAGUAAGGAUGCUAUUAAGUUUUUAAGAGCCUAUUCCAAACGUUGCUGUGCUUAUGAAUCAGCAAGUAUUCCUGCACAGCACUGAGUACCAAAAUCUACCCUGCGUGAAGAUGGUGAGUAUGGUCACAUCCAUGCAGACAGAAAAGUUCAUUAUUUCACAAUUGGUGUAUAUUAAUUUAAUAAAAAGGUCACAUUGAAAUUCCCAAGAUUCCAGUUCUCAACUACACAGAUCUUUUGCUAUAACUCGAAUUACUGGAGGAACACUGCAAUUUUCCAUCAGAUGAAACAAUGAGUAUUGACUUUUAAUAAGCUGUUGAAUAUUUCAGCACUUCUGAAAUAUGAACUCAACAGCUUAUAGGAUCAGUGCUCCUGUUUGCAAUUUGCUGUCAGAUACAAAGGGAUUGUUCUAAUAUGUUUGGUAUUACCAUCAGCUAAUCCUUUUCUGAUUUCUGUAUGUCACAAGAAAGUGAAAUAAAACUAUGGGAUGUUGUUUUAUGAGCAGUGCAAUAAUAAAGACCCAAAUAAGGCUUUUCUUAAAACCAACUUAGCCUUCAAAUAGCAGCUUAAGGAAUGCUCUCUGGAAUCUAACCUAUAAUGACUCAAGACCCAGUUUUCCCAGGAAAAGGUUUGAAUCAGUGUAUCAGCAUUAAACCUUUAGGCUAGGAUUCAGAAUGUACUUUCUCUUUUUACUGUAUAUGUAUAGGAUGUUUUUAGCUUAGUGCAUUAAUAGGACAACACAAUAAAGGAGGAUUAUGAUCCUUGUUCUGUAUUUUGCUCAAAAUUUAUAGGAUAUUUGGAAAAGAACAAUUUUGAUUUCCUAAUUCCUACUAAUAAAGGAGAAACAUGAGGUCCAUUUUGGAUUUUAUUUAGCUUAACAAUAAUAAUAAGGAUAAUAUUCAAAAUAAUGGCUUAAAUUUAGGAGCCUAAAAUGUUGUUCAAUUCUCAAAAUAAACUCUGCAUUUUGUGAAGCAUCUCCACAUGCAAUAAAGAAGUCAAUGGCAUGACAAAAACUUAAAACUGAAGUUUUACUGUAAAAGUGAAAAAGAAGCGUUUUUAGCUCACUUUGUUAACAUCUCUGGCUGACGUUCAGCCGACAUGCUGGAGGACACAGCCAGCAGUGCUUUGGUAGUGGUAUCAGAUUAGCGUGCAAUUCAUGCUGCUGUCUCGUACAUCUAUUAGACUGAGAGUACUGGAAAUUUCAGAGUCACGUUGUUUGAACUGUACCCUCUAACUGAAAGAAAUCAAGCCAGAAAAUAAAGGAGAUGGCUUGCAAAAUGAAAUUCUCAGGAAAAAAAGAAGUGCAUUCUGAGCAAGUCAAACUCUUUAAUUUUAGGUUAGAUUGCUCGCGCCUCACCUGACUGUAGGAAAUUUGAAAACACCGACACACAUUAUGAAAUAGAAAAAUAUUUGGCCAAAACAGACCUUGCUCAGAGGUCACAUCUUACUGUGCUUUGGUAAAUCUUGGACAAAUUACAGGUUUUCUGAUGAAAACAAUUUCAGCUGGAAAAUUUCUACCUAGGUUCACUGAGCUGCUGCUUCUUUCCACCUUUUUUUGGCAGAAUGAACACCAGAUAAUAGCUAUAAUAGCUAUAAUAGUUUGGCCUUCUGGACAUUCAUAUACCACACAGCAUUUACUAUGUUUUGUUGCUUAUUAUAGCCAAAGUAUAACUCCUUUGGAUUUGGAUCAAUCAUUUGGCCUUUCUUCCUCAGAGUUAUGAAACUUCUCCCUUGAUUGCUAACUUCAGGACUUUAGGGAAUGGAUAGACAUGAGUGGCAACAGCAGCAAGUGGUGCUCAGUAUUAGUGGGAAAAUAAGGCUCAGGGAAACCAUAAAACACAAAUAAAUACCUGGCAAUAAAGAGACAACACAGUAUAGAAGAUGAAAAUGAUUUCUUAGUGAAAUGGAUCUUGAAGCAUGAGCCUGGUACUAAGGCACAGUGUUUGGUAGGGAGAGUAAAUUAAAUUUUACUUUUAAAUUUUAGUCCAUGCAUCUUUAAAGAAAAAAAGAAAAAAAGAAGUGCAGAUAAAACAGGCAUCAGCCGUUAUAAAACAUGGAACAAGACGGUCUUUUAAACAACAGGCUUUCACAAACCCAUAUUUUAAUGUGGCUUGUCCUGGGAUAAUAUAGUAUAUCAGUGGUUCUCAGAUUCUUUCACAGCACAGAUCAUCUUUUAGGCAAAACUGCCUAAACUGUCUUGGACCCCUCACCCUUGCAAUGACAUUCCUAACCAGACCUGCACACACCCUACUAGCAAUCAACCUAUGAGUGCACAUGCACAGACACACAUAAAACAUUGAUCAGCAACAAAAGAAAAUUACUCUCUUACCUCAUGAGUCCAGGCAUUUUCUUGGGACUCCUGCUUCACUUUUCUAUAGCUUUUGCCUGCAAAAACGGCAGCAUCAUCCCCAUGGUUCAGCCUUGCAGAUGCCAUCUGUGGUGUCCUGUAAUCACUGAAGGGCUCCUACAGUUCCUGGGAUGGAGCAGAGCAGCAGUUAGGACAGCAUUCCUGGUGGCUGAACUGCACACCUGAGCCCCUGCUCAGCAACAGGCUGAGAGCCGCUGGAACUCUGCGACUCAGUGACCAGAAAGAGCCAGCUACAAACCCCAUUUCUGACAGUAAAGGCUUAUUCUGUUCUUCCUUGGUUUUAAACAUGUAAUUCAAUGUAGCAAUUAAUUAAUUCUUUAAGUAAUUAAUUACUAACUGCUAAGGAAUUAUUGUAACGCUGUAUGUAGAAGUAAUAAAAUUA
ensembl:lncRNA